GUGUGGGUUUGUAUUUAUGGCAGGCCUAUCUCCCUGGGCCUCUCUUAGUGUCCCGUGCUAGAGCAAACUGUGGUCCAAACCAUUGCCUGGCCUCCUCAUCCAUAGGUUUUGGCAGUGAAGUGGGUUGCAUAGUA
rnacentral:snoRNA from 1 species